GACGAACGCUGGCGGCGUGCUUAACACAUGCAAGUCGAACGGAAAGGCCCUGCUUUUGUGGGGUGCUCGAGUGGCGAACGGGUGAGUAACACGUGAGUAACCUGCCCUUGACUUUGGGAUAACUUCAGGAAACUGGGGCUAAUACCGGAUAGGAGCUCCUGCUGCAUGGUGGGGGUUGGAAAGUUUCGGCGGUUGGGGAUGGACUCGCGGCUUAUCAGCUUGUUGGUGGGGUAGUGGCUUACCAAGGCUUUGACGGGCAGCCGGCCUGAGAGGGGGACCAGCCACAUUGGGACUGGGAUACGGCCCAGACUCCUACGGGAGGCAGCAGUGGGGAAUAUUGCACAAUGGGCGGAAGCCUGAUGCAGCAACGCCGCGUGCGGGAUGACGGCCUUCGGGUUGUAAACCGCUUUCGCCUGUGACGAAGCGUGAGUGACGGUAAUGGGUAAAGAAGCACCGGCUAACUACGUG
rnacentral:rRNA from 1 species